rnacentral:lncRNA from 1 species
GCUUCUUCUUCAGGGUCCUUCAAUACUCUUAGUGCAUUUUCAGCUUUGAAUGCCAACAAGAGCAAAGUAAACCAAGAUGUAAAAAUAAAUAAUAAUAAUAAUAAAAUAAAAAAAAUAAUAAUAAAGGAAAUGUAGUGCUAUGGAGAAAACCACCGUAAGCACAAUCUAUAGCCUAAUUACACUUAGCAGUGCAUAGCAGAAUACUCACCCACAAAUGACCAAAAUAAAUGGACAGUCUUAAAGGCUCUCAGGUCUCUAACAUCUAAACACCUUUCUAAGAAAGAUGACAAAAUGAUAAAUUUAGAUGGCACCAUGCCACUCUUACAACAAACAAAUGGAAUAGCUGUAAAUUGCAAUGAGGCAAUUUUGGACAAUUUAUGAACCCCUCUGAGACCUCUGCAGUGAGCCUCUCAAAACCUGAGGUAUCUAAGGCUACACCUGUUCUAGCAAAUACUGUGGGAGUAGGUGCAGAGGAAUGAUGUGCACAUUGCACACAUUUCACGGGUUUGACGUCAGACUAGCUCUAGUUUGGUCCUGUUGACUGAAUUUCCAGUAGCAACUGGAUGGUGUUAGGUAUACCGUCUUCUGGAGCCUGUUUUCUCAUUAGGUCAUCUAAAAGGAAUCCAGUUUGCUUGCUCUGAGAGGCUCCAUGAUGCAAACCAAAGCAUACUAGGUAGGAACAGUCAGAGGACUCCCUUCAAAAUAGCACACACACACCAAACUGAAAGACUAAUAAAGAUCCAUCCUUAAGCAAUUUCUUCUCCUAUAUUCUGACUUCAGUAGCAUGUUCUGCUUGUGUUUCCUGAGGCACCUUUGUACACUGAAUGUGUACAUUCAUUCAUUCAUCUACAGUAGGACUUCUCCUCUGCGUGUUCUCAGUGCAACAUUGGAUUUACCUGAACAGCCUGGAUUUGGUCUGUGCUUUGCAUUUCUUCUGGGACAGAUCUGUGACUGCAAGUUGGACUUCCAGUCUUUGACAAACAUGGACAUACCAGCAAAAUGGUUUUUUGUACUGGUCAUACCCCUUGAAGAAGACUGCUCUUAUAGCAACUAAAUGCUGCAGUGUAGGGAGUUUCAAUUGCAGAGUACAUAUCUUACUGUAUUUUUUUCAGAUGGGCUGUGACCACAGUCUUCUGCUUCAUCUAAGGGAAAGUAUUAUUUUGGUUUGAAAGUAGUGGAAGAAUCUCUAUUAAUUUUCAAGUGCAAAUGAUAAAAUACAAACAAUUUAUUUCCCUUUACUCAUGUGGUAUAACAAGGUCUGAUUUAAAAUCUUUAGCAGAAAUCUAUUGCCAAAUUUUCAGGAUGAGCAACAGCAGAAAAAAUCAGUAUGCUAAAAACCAAAACAUUUCUUGUUGACUUAAGAAGCUCGUUAAAGUCUCAUUUGGGCCUGGUCUGUCGUUUGGUAUAAUCUGCGCAGUUAAGGCAUAAAAUGAUAUAAAUAUGGACUGGAGCCCAACCUCUGCACUUUCAAGAGCCAGUCCUACUUCAUUGGCUUCAAAGAAACCUAAAGAAUGAAACUGGAAUAGAGUGCCCUACAGGCUAGGCAAAUACAUGGAAAAUUUGUGCAACAUUCCAGGUUCAGUGAAGGAAAGCCAGCAGCAAGAAGAAGGUGUUCACCCAUUACCAUGAGGGAAAUGAAUGGUAUAUACCAGGCAAACAAUUUCACCUCCCUCACCUCAAAGAGAAAAUAGCCACAGGAGGUGCAUCCUUGGUGUAAGCACAUCUUCCCAGAUGAGAGGACUGGAAUAAUGAGCAGCUCUACUAAAAUCCCUGCAGGUGUGUGAAACAGCAUGUGAACUCUUCCCAAGAAAGUCAAGUUCAUGUUGGUGGAAAGGGAAUUUAAGUGGAAUCCCUGAUAAAAACCUACUGGACCUACAUCCCACAUAAGGCCUGCUGACUGGGUGGAACCGAAAGGUGAAGAAGCACACAUACAUAAUCCAUCAGUUGGUUUGACGUGUGUGGGGUGGCUUCACUUAGGUGACUUCAUGUCUCAGAGAUCUGCUGAGCCACAGUGCCAGACUGCCUGCCUCACUCAUUGCCCAGGGCUGCAAUAUUUUCUCUGCUGCCAUCAUCCCUCUGGGAGAAGGCUUUCCUUUUCAGAUGGGGUGGGAAUUUGUGGCCCAUGGGCUGCAUUGGUCUGGAGCUCUGUUCCAGAGGGCCUGCAGCCACACAAGUGGGAGGAAGGCAGACAGGCAUCUCACUAGUGCACAAAAAAUGAAUGUUAAUUAUGUUUCUAGUUAUCACAGGAGAAGUCUAUUAUCUGUGUGUCAAUGCACAGCCCACAAAGAUUGCACCAAAAUCCCAGCUAAAGCCUAGGUUAAAAAAUAAAUCUAAUCCUGUGACUGUUGAACCUCCUGUU